rnacentral:rRNA from 1 species
AGAGUUUGAUCAUGGCUCAGAUUGAACGCUGGCGGCAGGCUUAACACAUGCAAGUCGAGCGGAGAGGGGUAGCUUGCUACUGAUCUUAGCGGCGGACGGGUGAGUAAUGCUUAGGAAUCUGCCUAUUAGUGGGGGGCAACAUUUCGAAAGGAAUGCUAAUACCGCAUACGUCCUACGGGAGAAAGCAGGGGAUCUUCGGACCUUGCGCUAAUAGAUGAGCCUAAGUCGGAUUAGCUAGUUGGUGGGGUAAAGGCCUACCAAGGCGACGAUCUGUAGCGGGUCUGAGAGGAUGAUCCGCCACACUGGGACUGAGACACGGCCCAGACUCCUACGGGAGGCAGCAGUGGGGAAUAUUGGACAAUGGGCGCAAGCCUGAUCCAGCCAUGGCCGCGUGUGUGAAGAAGGCCUUAUGGUUGUAAAGCACUUUAAGCGAGGAGGAGGCUACUUUAGUUAAUACCUAGAGAUAGUGGACGUUACUCGCAGAAUAAGCACCGGCUAACUCUGUGCCAGCAGCCGCGGUAAUACAGAGGGUGCAAGCGUUAAUCGGAUUUACUGGGCGUAAAGCGCGCGUAGGCGGCUAAUUAAGUCAAAUGUGAAAUCCCCGAGCUUAACUUGGGAAUUGCAUUCGGUACUGGUUAGCUAGAGUGUGGGAGAGGAUGGUAGAAUUCCAGGUGUAGCGGUGAAAUGCGUAGAGAUCUGGAGGAAUACCGAUGGCGAAGGCAGCCAUCUGGCCUAACACUGACGCUG